AGUCAAGCUAUGAGUCUCAUGAUACUAAGAAUAGUCUUCAAGAAGAGCACAUACAUACCAUCAAAAUCAAUGAAUGAUUUAGUGAAGUAGAAGCCUUGCUUAACAUGUAGUAAAACUCAACCAACUAGUUAUAUCUAAUUCAAAAAUAAUGGAGCACAUCACUGCCCAAAAGCCAGUCACAUUACAUCUCUUAAUUGACGUCCUUUAUGGACAUAAAAAUUCUAAUGCACACCCUUUUUCCUACCAGAAAAUGUACGUAUGUUAUGGCAAAAGCUUCAACUAGAAAUCUAUAUGCUAAGAG
rnacentral:misc_RNA from 1 species